AUUGAACGCUGGCGGCAGGCUUAACACAUGCAAGUCGAGCGGUAACAGAGAGAAGCUUGCUUCUCUGCUGACGAGCGGCGGACGGGUGAGUAAUGCCUAGGAAUCUGCCUAGUAGUGGGGGAUAACUUGCCGAAAGGUAAGCUAAUACCGCAUACGUCCUACGGGAGAAAGGAGGGGACCUUCGGGCCUUUCGCUAUUAGAUGAGCCUAGGUCGGAUUAGUUAGUUGGUGAGGUAAUGGCUCACCAAGACCGCGAUCCGUCACUGGUCUGAGAGGAUGAUCAGUCACACUGGAACUGAGACACGGUCCAGACUCCUACGGGAGGCAGCAGUGGGGAAUAUUGGACAAUGGGGGAACCCUGAUCCAGCCAUGCCGCGUGUGUGAAGAAGGUCUUAGGAUUGUAAAGCACUUUAAGUUGGGAGGAAGAGCAGUUAACUAAUAUUUGUCUGUUUUGACGUUACCGACAGAAUAAGCACCGGCUAACUUCGUGCCAGCCGCCGCCGUAA
rnacentral:rRNA from 1 species